rnacentral:sRNA from 1 species
UAAUUUCCAGCUGUAAUAAUUUGCACC